UCGAUUUCUUGGAUGAAUCAUUAUCGUUGAAUAAUUUCUGCUUUUAUCGAUAUAAUUAGCAAGAGUACAGAGAUCGUAAGGACCGUUUGCGACCUUUACGGGAUAAGGGAUAAAAAUAAAAACUAGGAUAAACUAUAGUUAGGAGGAUAUGUCCGUGAAGGUGGAUGAAGAAGCGUAUAUAAUGGCACAAUCGUCGAGAUAGGACCACACGACAAAUUGUCUAAAUUAAGGCAGCAUUGGGGUCAUUUUAGAGCAUCGAGAUGAAACUUGUCGAGUGUUCUUGGAAUUGUCGUUAACCUUUAAUCGUCCAUUAAAGUGCUCUCAUGGCAAGAAUACCAUAAGAAUUGGAAAUUUAGAAUAAAGAAUCAUUGCAAAAGAUAGACACUUUUCGCAUAUCGCAAGCAAGUACUUUUCGUCUGGAUUGUUGCGCUCGAGAGUCAAAACUUUCUCAACGCGUCUAGAUUGCGAAGCAAGUUGAAAUGAUUUCAAUUAGAGAUUUAACUUACAACGUACAGCGCUGCCUCCAGAAUGACUUGAACGCGUUCGUUCGAAAUAUUCAAUACGUAAAGGACGUGUAAACGAUACGUAAACGACGCGCAAACGAUGACAAAUGUUUUCAAGAAAAUAAUAUUUAAUAGUACGAAAUGUGCGACUACGCGUCCAGGGUUUGGAUUAUACGUGAUCGUCAGAAGCGAAGGUGAAGAAGAGCGCAACGACGAGAACUAUUUUCCUAAAAGCAUAGGUGUACCUUGGCGAAGUAACAGCGCGAGUACCGUAUACGUAUACGUAAGCGUGUGUCCAUCAGAAGCGUACAUAGGAAUUUCAAGAGUGGGAACUCCGAGGUCCUGCUGGCCCUCAUCUUCGGUGGCCUCACGGUGAAGGUUGGAAGAGAAGGAGGAGGAAGGCAUCGUGUACCGUUCUGUCCUCCGGAACCUCGGUUCAUCGGGUCGGUUAUUCCAGCUUCUCAUACUCUUUAGAAAAAGCAGUCUAUGACCGACCUGCUGUGCGGCCAUCUCUCUCGCCUUCUAUCGCCUUCUAUCGCCUUCUAUCGCCUUCUAUCGCCCCCUUCCUCUCUGCGAUACGAGUUUGUCGAUCUCGACAAUCGACGCAAGAUACGUUAGAGCGCUUUUCUCGGACUUAUUUUCUCCAUUUAACUAGAUUUCUUUGUUUGUUGUAACGACACUUUGAUCGAUUUUAGUUUUAGUUUUCGUACAUUUAAAGUCAUAUCGAUACGUAUUUAUUUACUUGUAACAGCGGAACGCAUUGGAACGAUAUUCUUUCAGAUUGUUACAAUGAAGUGUAUAACGUUUUGCAAUAACGAAGAGAGCACUGGAAGUGCGAGAGCGAUAGAGAGGUACGCGGAGCGGUAGAAGUGGUUGAAAGGGGAGAGAGAGAGAGAGAGAGAGAGAGAGAGGUGGUCGAUGCUGAUUCGUAGAAGGAAUAAAAACAGAAAUGGAAGCAAAACGAUAGCUUUGCACUGCGAGAAUAGAUGAAGCGAGUGCGAAGAUGGAGACGCUCCGAAGGAUGUUACCAUAGUUGGAGGAGGGAGGAGUACCCCACCACAGUAUGCCACGCGUGAUCGAGUUACUUGGACGAACUGGCCUGGCACAGGUGAGGUGAGGUUGGUAUACGGCCUGCGGGACAAAGAACCGCAAGAAAUACCGAUACUACCUUGCUUCGGGACUUAAAGUCGCUGUUCGAACGAAAAGUAUCCCGGCACCGUUAUCCCUACUCGAUGAUGAAUAUUUUGACGUGUAUCAUGGAUCGUGGGAAAUAGUUGUUAGGACUCGCGUCGACUUGUAAAUAUCAACUUUUGAUGACUCAUUCGCCCAAAUAUAACAUACAUAGACAACAAAUUCAUUUUUAUUCGUUCGAAUACUAUAACGUUCGAAUCGUGAUCGCAACCGCACCCUUAGAAGGUCGUAGACACGUAAAACCUUCAAAGAAGAUAUCGUUACACCGAAACGUCGAUACUUCGUAACGUUGCCUCAUCCUCCUGUGUUGCGGUUUAUGUUAAAGUUCUUCGGUGAUCUCAUGUCGUAUCUACGUAUUACGCGCAAAAGACUACAAAAGUAGCGAAAUCUUUGUUAAAGGAGCGUUUUAAAAUUGCUUAGUGAUAGAAGAAAAGAGUAGUAUAUGUGUAUAUAUAUAUAUAUAUAUAUAUAUAUAUAUAUGUAAACAUACACAUGUAUAUCGUAUAUUAAUUUGACUUACGUAUAUAGAUAUAUUACGUACGAUCUAUAUCGUCUACAUCAGUCGUACGAGCGUUAUGUUUGAAAAAAAUAAAAGACUUUUUACGGCGAUUAAUGAGAUUACUCAUGAUAAGGACUGCUCGACCACUUGUACGGUUCUUUUAUACGUACGAGGAAUGAUCGAUGUAUCAAUCCUGAUCGACGAUCUCAAAGCGGAAGCCCCACCCGUUUUACCAGUCCUACCUGCUUGGCCUGCGGGAUCGAGGCGUUUCCACGUAAGAAUUCAACUCGUUUCCGGUUUCUCCGCGACAGGUUAGCGAAGUAUCAACGACGAGUCUUUAAUCCAAUGCACGUGCAUUCGUUGCAGCGCAGUGGCUUACGUGGUAUAUGUAAAAACUGGAAUCUCUCUCUCUCUCUCUCUCUCUCUCUCUGUAGUAUAUAGUACUGGUCAAAUUCAUUAAUGUAGUUUUAUGAAUAUUUCUAAGGAAAUUACGUCCGGUUACAUAUUUGCUAAGAGACAAAGCUCAAACAGCAUUCCUCCGUUGUGAGAGGAAGAAAAAAUGAUGAUCUUACUAGGAAAUUUAGAGAUACCUACCGCCAAGAGACGAACUACCGCACGCAUGUACACGCGCGGUAUCAACAUAAUUGCAAGCUCUUAACUCAGAAUGAUGUAAGAAUAUUCGUUCAUCGUGGAAAAUAAGGUUUUACUUUCGCUCCCUGGGUGAUUAUAAUCCGUCAAGGUGUUACGGUUGCAUUAAAUCAAGCACCAGUCAGAAAAAUGCCACUUCUAAUCGAUGUUUACCGAUAUCGUACUAAGUAGACAAUGUCUAUAGGUAGCGUCUAUUUGAUCGUGAAAAUAUCUCAAGGAGCAUCGAAGAUAGGUUUGGUUUUGAUUGCUAUGGAAGUGUCAUAUUUUGUUUUGUUUCUUUAAUUGGAAAAAUUGCACUUACGAAUUUCUAUAUCGCCAUAGCCCGUCUUUCCUCAGUCAUGGGCGUCUUUUUACAUUCGUCCUCUCAUAUACCGAUUUCGUUGUCAUUGCACAAUGGUCCGUGUAAUCAGGAGCGAGUGACUGUUGCCUGAUGCACACCUUCCUCUUUUUUUCUCUUUUUGUUUUCUAUUUUCUUUCUUCCCACAUUCGCCGCGCUUUCUUUUACAUUUUUCCCUUUCCUGUAUUUUCAUCGGAGCUGCAGGGGCAACCACAAUGACGUCGGGGAUUCGUCAUUGUUCCAGGCGGCUAUAAAGGCAAAAGCAAAAGCAAAAGCAAAAGCCAAAAGCGAAAGCGCUCCGGCAAUACUUUAAUGCGCUCCGGUUUCUUUCAACAAACGCGACCCUUCCUCCGCGCGACGGAUGGCAUCGAAAAUCUCAUCAUUUAGAGUGGCUUGCUUUCAAAAUACGAAGCAUCAGCGAGAAGGGUUUCCCUUAUAUUCGUUGACGAGUAUGAUACAAGGUCUACGUAUUCCUAUUCGAUAGGUAAAAAAACUAAACAACUCACUUAAUAAAGAGAAACGAACAAGAUUCGUAAAGUUUCGUAUCCUUUCUUACUUUUUCCUAUCUUUCUACAGUAGCUACAUUUAUUAAUGACCAGCGAAAACGUGGACGCUCGAUGAUGCGUUUGAACGGUGUGCGAGAUGAAAAUUGCAUUCUACAAAGUAGAAUAACCAUAGUAGGAUAGCGGAAGGGUGCAUUUCCCAUUCCUGCGAGGGUUAAAAUCCACGGAUUUGGGGGACGUGGUAGUGAGAGAAAGACCGAGAGGCUAGUAGUUGGAGGGUGGCACAAAAGAAACCAAAGUACUAACUAGGGCAUUAGCAGGGAAGCCCGGUUCGACAAACAAAUUCAGCCCUCUCCUAAAUCAGCGGCCUUCGCUCCCUUCGCCAUAUUUCCGUUUUCACAAGGGCAGCUAGAUACGCAUUGCACGCGUUAUCGAUUAGAAAAGCGUAAGGAUAGGAAGCGAAACGAACGAACGUUUCUACAUUAUAUUUUUAUGUCUGUAUAUAUUUGCAAUUAGAAUUAAGUAACAAGUGCGAUAAAAGUAAAUUGAAUUAUUGUAAAUGUAGGUACUUAUGUGCGUUGCUAAUGUAGGUAGUUACACGUAUUUACACACGCAUAGCUACAUAUGAUACGUUCACCUAUCGAUCUAUCAAUGAAAUCAAAUUUAUUGGCCGUAAGAGAAAUUCCAAACAAGUUUAAGAAAAUUCACUAAAGCGCAGUCGUUAAAAGGGAGAUAAUAAAGGAGGUAAAAAAUCAGAAGGAAAUUUGCCGCUACUUGGGAGCACCGAUCAAAUCCCAACCCGCCUCCAGGAUAAACCGAGAUUGAUUCGGCCUUGGAAAUGGAGAAGGGAAGAACCAGCAGCAACUCCAGGGACGCAACCCAGCUGCGCUAGGAGUGACUAAUACUCGGAAGAGUAUUCUCGAGGUGUGGCCAGAUUUCGGGCCGAUGUAGGAAGGGGAGUUCUAGACAAGCAAGCUCAAGGGGUGAGUACGAGGCGAGGGUUCCUCUACUUUUAGAGUAUAUCUAUACGUAGGUGUGUGUGCGUGUACGUGUGUAUGAUCAUACGUAUCGUACGUCCUGACGCGAGAAGCGUUCGGCAUUAACACGUAGAUCCGUCGUUAGAUAUAUGAGAAUCAGGUAGAUAUACCUGCAAUCUCGUAAUCGAGAAUCCGUAAAAGAAUGUUCAUCGAGUCUUCAUCGAACAUUCUCCGAGCACUUAUCGUUUGCAGUUUUCGUUCGCAGUUUUCGUUCGCAGCUUUCGUUCGCAGCUCUCGGCUUAAAGGCGAAUUACUAAAAUUUGUACGAUUUAAAGAGAAGGGACUAAUACGUCGUGCAUGAUACCGACGAUUAUACUACAGCAGUAGUGGUUAUAAUAAUAAUGAUAAGAAGGAGGAGAGGAGACAUCAGAGGAGGAAGAAGCCUCUCGAGCGUGGCCGGGCUACUUUACCCGCAUGUGCACACGCGUGUCAUUGACCGAUGUGUCACGUUCAUUGGUGGCUCGAACGCUCGGAAUGAUCGCGAGGAGAAGAAGAGGAACAAAGAAGGCGAUGAGAAGGAAAGAAGGCGACGUAUGCAGGACGGUCCCGGCGGUGACGUAGGACGUAGGAAAGAGAAAAGGGGUGGGGGAGAUCCGCGAGUCGGGGGCACCGGCUAAUCUAAAGGAGCGACCCACGGGGUAUGUCGUUCGCUAAUCACCCUGAUGAAGCUUGAUGGGGCCAGCAGCAAUUGUCUCGAGUGAGAUCACUUUGCGCACUCCGCUUCGCUACAUUUCGUCGCCACUCGUACAAAAGCAACGCCGAUAGACAAGGCAAGAUAUACAAAGUAAUGGUUUAUUCCUUGUAAAAAAAAAUGUCCACGAUGUUUGGAAUGUAUUUCGAAUGGAUCGCUAGAGUUCGUUGGCACCGCAGUGUAAAAGAUACAUCGAAACCCGCGACAGGUGCGUAAAGCACACUUCUCACCAAGUUGCUGGCACACGUACAUCCGGGGUAAGUACACGAACCGCUCGGUUUCUCAUCGAGAAUACGUAAUCUCGUGACACGAAGGAGCAUACCAAUUCCUCCCGUUACACGAAAUACCAACUCGACAGACCAUAGGCUUUUAUUCAAAAAGAGAAGGAGGUGUAUUCUCGAUUGUUGCGUUUAAGUAGAUUUCGGAAUGAUCAAAUGUUCAACGGCAUACCAACGAACCUUUUUCGACGAUUUCAACGAUCAAGUAUGGAAUCGAAGAUGAAUCUUGAUUCCGGUUAAGUGUAUCCACCGAAUGUAAUAGUG